CAAAAAUUCCCUAAACUCUCCCGCACCUUUGCCCCUUUCUCAUUCUGCCUUCUCCUUAUCCCGCCGGACAUUUCCUACAUAUUUGUCUCCUUUUUAUGUUUACAUCCAAUACAAAUAUUUCCCCCAAAAUCAAGUCUUCUUCAUCUUCCUGAAAGCAGGGCGGCGGCAGCAGAAACAGCAAGCAGCAAGGUUCUUUUCCCUCUGCACUUUCACUUUAAUUUUUUUUAGAGCUAUAGAGUUGAAUCAGAGAAAUUUGGGAUUUGGGUUUGAGUUUUUUUAAAAUGGGACAAUUUUAUUUUGAGAGAACAUAAGAGGGUAAAUUAUACCCACAUUGGCCACCCCCUACUAACACUUUGAUUAUCUCUCAAUCUUAUCAUCCCGGUACCUGUGUAAUAAGAAAACCCAUAAUUUUUUUAGAGAAAAUUGUAGCACCAUUUUUCUCGCAUUGCUUAAUUUGAGCUUUUUAGUGGUGUUCUGAGCUUUAAAUAAGUUUUAUUUGUACCGGAUUUUUGUAAACUUAACGAUUUGAAGAAGUUUUUUAGCAUUAUUGAGUUUUGAAGAGCUUUAUUUGUUCUGGGUUUUUGAAAUCUUGAAGAUCUGAAGAAUUUUUGAGCAUUAUUGAGCAGUCAAAUCGAUGGGGAAGCGCAUAAAAUCGAGGGGAUUGUUUGGUUGGUUUAUUGUCAGAUUUCCAAAACCCUAACAUUUGCUUUUUGUUUUUUAUUUUCCUCUUUUAUUGCAGUUGAUGAGCCACUCAAGAUCACAUUUGAGGUAUUUAUAUGUGUAUAAACUUUUAUGCUUGAUGUUGGUUUCUGAUCUGAACAUAAAAAAUUUUUUUUUAGCUGAUUGAUCUGUUCUUUUACUUUUGGAAUUGGACUGCAUAAAGUGUUAAUGCGAAGUACUCUUUUUUGUGUAAAGCUGUUAACUUUUGGAUCUGAUUGAUCUGUUUCCAUGUUCUGUGUUUGCUCUUUAGUAACAUUUCUUUGAACAUGAUGAUGUUCUAAUGUACAGGUAAUAAUCCCUUUAUAUCAUAAAAUCAUUCUCAUUAUGUCAUUUUUAUACUGAUAGGAAUAUAAAAAAUGACUCAUUUGGUGAACAAAUUUAUUUUGUUUUGUUUUUAAUGAGAUUUUAGUGGAAGAGAGGGAGUACAAUAUUCUGGAAAAUUAAAAAAAAAAUAACAUAACUUUUAAAUACCUUCAAAACACUACUUUUGAAUACCUUCAAGUGUGGUUGGAAAAAAAAAGUCAACUUUUGAAUACAUUCAGUUUGGAUGAAAAGAAAAGUUUGUAUCUCUUUGCUUGGGAUUUUCAUUAAACAUCUUUCCUCAUAGCAACUGAAAACAAACUCCACUUUCCAUUACAUUUAAUUUCUCUUGCUACAACUCAAAAUAAAUAUGCAAGAAAAUCAUCAUAAACUUUGGACCAUAAUAAAGUGUUGUAAUUCAUGUAUGAAGGGGAUGUUAUGAUUGUUGUGUGGAGUAAUAAGGGUACUAAAAUCUGGGCUAAACCAUAACCAAAUACUUAUGAGUUCUGUCCUAAAAAUAAAUGCACAUGUUAUGUUCGAUAAAUUACCUCUAAGAGGCUAUCAAGUAUAAAAAGGGAGAGUUGGUCAAGAUUGUUAAUAGAGAAGUCUUCAUAUAUGUUAGAUGAUGUACAUGGAGUAAUUUAUGUAACCUGUUAUAGACUGUUUUACAUUACAACAUAUAGGAUUUUAUAUUUCAUGGGUAUAAACAAAAUACUACAAUUUUUGCUUUGUAAGAAUACUGCUCUCAAUGAUUUUUGUAUCAAAUAAGAGAUAACUGCAUUUUGCUUUGUAAGAACUGCAUUGUUUUCGUUAUAGGUAUUGUUCUAGCCGUAGACAAAUCAGUGGUGUGUAAAUUGUCUAAAUUCCAUAAGCUUUGUAACUCUUUUAUGCUUGUAUAUAUUAUUGGUCCCAAAUUAAUGAUUUUCUCUAAUUAUUGACGUCCAACACAUUUGUUGAUUGUAAACUUUUUUUCUUUGGUUUACAUCGGACCAUGCCCAAAGAUUCAUGAUCAGAAGUUGAAAGAAAGGUAAUGAAUGAGUAUAAUUUGGAAUUUACAAGCAUGGGACUGUUUUAUAUUAUUUCAUAAUUUAUGUUGCUAAGGCAUUUUAAUAUUCUUUAGAUUCUACUAGAAGAGCUUCUUGCCUUCUAUAAUGUUCAUUAUAUUUUUUCAUUUGAGCUUGUUGUAUGUAUAAUAAUAACUGUGAGAUGUUGCCUUUGAUUAUUUGAUCAUGUUGGAUGUCUAACUAUUAAAAUACUUUGAUCAUAAAUACAUAGCAAAAAUGUUCAUAGGCUCUUCCCACAUCCCGUACUUAAUAUCGUUACCUUUUGUACUUUGCCUACAAGUACUUAAUAUCGUUAUCAUAACAAAAAUGUUCAAAGUAGAUGUUUUACAUAUAGUAAAUGUGUUUCCCUUCUUAUUUUUGCGUAUAGUAAAUAGAGUGAUGUUCUCCUUUGGCUUUCUUGUAAUUAACGUUAGUAAUGUUAUAUGUUUGCAAAUAAUGAUGUUAUAGUAUUAGUGUUGUUAUAUAAGUCUAAAGAUAAUGUUAUUAUUACUAUAUUACAAAUUAUUUGCAUUCAUGCUUUUGGAUCGUGAAAGUGUUCUAGCUUUUUAUUGAGGCAAAUUUUGUUACUGCUGCAGAGUUUCUUGAUUGUGUAUGCGCUGAUGUCUUUAGAAUCGAAAAUGGCACAAGUUAUAACUAAAUGAAGGUAUGGUUUUGAAAGUAUAAUCUAGAUCAUUGUUAACAUUCAGGUAAAUAUUAAGUUUCUUUAUUACUGUUAUAAAUAAUAAUGAUAAAAACUAUAGCGUUAUUGUUCUCCACUGUUGUCCUUUUUUUUUUGCUAAAUUGAAUCACAUUUCCUUUCAUUUUACUUUUCAACUAUUCAUGAUCUUGUAGAGGCGGCCAAAAUUUUAAAGAUUCAAAGGGAACUAGAUGAAACAAAAAUUAUACUUGUAAGUCUUUAGGUUUCCAGUUGGUCGUAUGCUCAUUUGUUCUAUCUGCUUCGAAGAAGUAGGUUUACUUUCCCUAAAGCAAACAUUAAGCAUAUUAUAUACGAUACUGCUUGAAGGUAACAUGAAGUCAUUUUUGAUGUUUGAUAAACAAACAUUAAGCAUAUUAUAUACGAUAAGCAAUAAACCUACUUAACAUACCUUAAUAAGCCAACAUGAUGUUUGAUGUUUUACAAUACUUCAUUUAUAUAUCAAACAUUUAUAUAACACAAACAUUUAUAUCUUGGAGAAAUAUUGCAUUUAUAUAUGAGUUUUGUUAUGCAAUACUGCAUUUUGGUAGACAAUCUACUAUACAAAUUGCUUCAUUUGAAGGUACUGUAUUAUUUAUAAUUUUAAAUACAUUUAUAAUUUUAAUUGAUUUGAGUUGUCCAAAAUUUUAAAUUUAGUGUUUCCUUAUAUUUUUCUAGGAAAUUUUUAAAAAAGAUACACCACAUCAUUUCCUUCAUUGACUUUCUCAAUACACCAAAUUUAAAUUUAGUUUACCACUCUUCUAUUUUGAAAAAGAUACACCACAACAUUUCCCAAAAGAAUGUAAAGGCGAAAAAAAAGUACAAAGAAGAAGAGUUUAUAGAAAAUAUAAAUUUGUAAAACAUAAUUAGAGUUCAACAUUUUUUCAGAAAACUAAUUAGAGUUCAAGCUCUGACAAUUUUUGAAGAAACAUUUCUAUAAUAUAAUGUUUAAAUUCAACGAGAGGUUUAUUUUUUUAAAUAGCUUCCUAUGUGUGUAUGCUUAUUUUAUGUCUCUGCUUUAUGUUAUAAGUUGAUCACUAAUGUUUGAGCAAUCUGGGUAACAUGUACUACCUCCUUUCCAAAUUGAGUCUUAUUUGACUUUUUAAUUUUUUUCCCCUCUUAUGCAGAUUAAGGUUUGUAAUAGAUAAUUUUCUUCCCCCAAUAUAACAUUUUUUUUUUAAUAUCUUAUCUCCACGUGUGUCUAUGGCAACCUUAGUAUGCGUAGGAAGUGUCACAAGUAAAAUGGAAAUUUCAUUUUUGGAAGUAGGUAAAUAUGGAUGCAUAUGAUCGGGAACUUUCAUUUACCAUUGAUCAUUCUUGUGGUUUGCUUACACAACAUUAUCCAUUAAUGGGUAGCAUGGUCUUUACUGUUUCUUUAGGUUUUUGUUGCCUUUUGAAGAAUCUACACUUAUUUUGAAACAAAAACUAAGCCAAAAGUGACUUAUUUAAAUCUUAAGAGCACAAAUAACACUUUGAAGCAUCUUACGUGAUUGCUCUUUCUUGGCAGAUUGGUUAUCAAUUUUGUUUUAGUCUUUAGAGCUUAAUCCAUUUACAACACAAUAUUCAUAACUUAUACAGAGUCUGAUCACAUCGAAGUCUAGACUUCGUGGUUGGAGAUAUUAACCAGUAUUCUGCAGUGUUGAAACCAAGUAUGGACUCGAUACACUCCAGCUUAUAUUGAGAGAGAAAACAUCUGUGAUUGUGGGUCCAAGUGGUGUUGGAAAGUCGAGUCUAAUCAACACUUUGAGUACUUGAUAUAUUAUCUUUUGCUACCCUUAUUGCACCCAAGCUAAAAAUGUACCACGUGAACUUCUCAGCCUGCUACCCUUACUGCAACAUUUAAACAGGUGAGAAGCAGAUUACUUGAGAAAAAAUAUAAGACCUAUUAAGAUAGAGCUUAAACAGCAUGCAUGCUGUUUAAAGAAGUUAAACAUAAGAUGUCCUUAUACAAUUAUUAUGACACCAAUUAAAGAAGUUAAACAUAAGAUGUCAAGAAAAUAAACUCAACCUUUUAUUCUGAUUCAACUUCCAACAGAACAAUAUAUAGUAUAAAUGUAUCGUAAAAUAAAAUAAAAAAAUAAAGAAAUACAAAAAAUAAAGCUGGGCUCAUAAGAUUUGGAACAAUAGUAUUGAAUGUAUUUUUGAAACAAUAGUAAAAUAAAUACAAAAAUACAAAAAAUGUUAAGUUUUUGUCAUGAUAUUUAAUAUACAAAAUUUGUCUUUGCAGCUUCAUUUGCUCAUGUUUAACUCAUGUUUAAUUUAUUAAGUUUGCUCUUACAGGUUGAUCUAAGUGAUAGUAACAACAUACCUGUCAAUGUUUUAUCUAAAUGUGCGAUUAAUCAAUUACAUAUGGAUAAGGUAACACUACUGGUAUUGAUAAAAAAAUUAUUUUGAUAUUAGUUUGCAUUUUUUGACUAAUGUCUUAUUUUUUACUUCAUAGGAGAAUUCACAUGUGAAUCACUUGAACAACCCAAGUGUUAUUCCAUCUUCAACAAAGGGGAAAGAAAAAAUUGGUUGUUCUAUUGGAAAAGAAAAUUGGUUUAAUUAACUGGUAUG
rnacentral:lncRNA from 1 species